AUGAGCCCAUAUUUAAUUCAUCUACGGCAAUCUGCUAGUGUUGAUGAGGCACCAGUUAUUAUUGUUGAUAUUUAUGAUCCAAGCAAUUGGGGUAGUCUUGAUAACAAAGCGAGGAACAUAUUAGUGGAAAGGGGGCCUAAAAGCAAAGAAGAAAACACUAAAUAUCCGUUGGAUAAAAAUUCACAAUAUUUUUUCAAAACACUAAAACACUCAAGAAAAAUGAGCAAUUGA
rnacentral:rRNA from 1 species